UAGGGAAUCUUCGGCAAUGGGGGCAACCCUGACCGAGCAACGCCGCGUGAGUGAAGGAGGUUUUCGGAUCGUAAAGCUCUGUUGUAAGAGAAGAACGUGUGUGAGAGUGGAAAGUUCACACAGUGACGGUAACUUACCAGAAAGGGACGGCUAACUACGUGUCAG
rnacentral:rRNA from 1 species